rnacentral:rRNA from 1 species
UCCGGAUUUAUUGGGCGUAAAGCGAGCGCAGGCGGUUAGAUAAGUNUGAAGUUAAAGGCUGUGGCUUAACCAUAGUACGCUUUGGAAACUGUUUAACUUGAGUGCAGAAGGGGAGAGUGGAAUUCCAUGUGUAGCGGUGAAAUGCGUAGAUAUAUGGAGGGACACCGGUGGCGAAAGCGGCUCUCUGGUCUGUAACUGACGCUGAGGCUCGAAAGCGUGGGGAGCGAACAGGAUUAGAUACCCUGGUAGUCCACGCCGUAAACGAUGAGUGCUAGGUGUUAGGCCCUUUCCGGGGCUUAGUGCCGCAGCUAACGCAUUAAGCACUCCGCCUGGGGAGUACGACCGCAAGGUUGAAACUCAAAGGAAUUGACGGGGGCCCGCACAAGCGGUGGAGCAUGUGGUUUAAUUCGAAGCAACGCGAAGAACCUUACCAGGUCUUGACAUCCCGAUGCCCGCUCUAGAGAUAGAGUUUUACUUCGGUACAUCGGUGACAGGUGGUGCAUGGUUGUCGUCAGCUCGUGUCGUGAGAUGUUGGGUUAAGUCCCGCAACGAGCGCAACCCUUAUUGUUAGUUGCCAUCAUUCAGUUGGGCACUCUAGCGAGACUGCCGGUAAUAAACCGGAGGAAGGUGGGGAUGACGUCAAUCAUCAUGCCCCUUAUGACCUGGGCUACACACGUGCUACAAUGGCUGGUACAACGAGUCGCAAGUCGGUGACGGCAAGCUAAUCUCUUAAAGCCAGUCUCAGUUCGGAUUGUAGGCUGCAACUCGCCUACAUGAAGUCGGAAUCGCUAGUAAUCGCGGAUCAGCACGCCGCGGUGAAUACGUUCCCGGGCCUUGUACACACCGCCCGUCACACCACGAGAGUUUGUAACACCCGAAGUCGGUGAGGUANCCUUUUAGGAGCCA